CAACUAAAGCAUCUGUGACAGAUGGCCAUCCAACCUUUGUUUAAAAUCUCCAAUGAAGGGGACUCCACCUCCUUCCAAAGGAGUCUGUCCCACUGUUGAGCAGCUCUUACUGAUGUUUAGUUGGAGAAUAUUUGAGACUUUGCCUUCUUGAUUUUUUAACAACCUGUGCUCAGUUAUUUGACUUAAAUACACACACAGUUUGCUGGAUCACAGUCAAAUUAGUGAAGUCCAUUGAUUUCAUUGGAUCUAAUCUGAGAAUGCCUUGCUUGACUACAACCCUUAAUAUUUAUUUUGGUUGUUCUGAGAGGAUUGUAUAUUUAAAAGAUUCUAAAUUUUUAUGAGAGAUGGCUAAGAAUGUUAGAGGAACAAUACAUUUUUUGGAUUAGAAGACCAAGCCAAACACACACACACCCCACACAUACUCUGAGGUUUAAUACACCCGGUUUUGCUGCUUGACUUGACACUGACUUAACACUGGCUGUGGGUUCGGGUGUAAGUCAGAUCAGUUUUCAUGGCCUACAGACUGAUAGGAUAACUUCUGGUACAAUAAAGUACUGUACUACUUAUGCAUCAGCUAAGAGAAAACAAAAGGAAGACACCUUUAUAAAUACUUCUGCUAAUUUAUAUGAGUAGGUGCUGAUUUAAAAAUAAUUACUUUUAAGUAGACAUAUAAUACAUCUGACGGCAACUUCAAGGCCACAGCUCUCUCAGACUUGGAUUCAAAGACCUUCAUACAGGCAACUUCUGUAGAAUAGGGCACAUGGCCACCAAAGAGUGAUGAGAUAGGAAUUCAAUUAGAAUGAAGCUCAAGGACCAUCAUUUGGAAACCUCUGCUCUAGGGGAUGCAAUCAUGUGACUAACGCAGCUGGAUAGAAGACUUCGUUUUCAAAACUAGGUAAGAGAAUAAGAACAAAACCAUUUCAAUUGAAAAGCUUUUAUUAUACGGUGCUCAACUUUUCACUGAAGGUUAGAGAGACUUUUCUUGAAUUCAGUAGUCCUACUUAAGGAUAACAAAAUCAUAUCAUUGUUAAGGACCUCAGAAAUUACAGCACUACAUGAUAAACUGCUCUGUCUCUGUUUUAUAUUAAUACUUCAUACAUAUAAGCUGCUCUAAAUUUAAUGCUCUUGUAAGGAAGGUUAAAUACUACAAAACUUCCAUACAGCAAAAGCCUGGAACUCUUAAUGCAUCAGAUUUUCUACUUGGUGAUUGUUCAGAUGGUAUUACAUCUUAAUGGAUUCCUUUUUAAAGAACUAGAUUGUGAUUAAUUGCAGUGCAUGAUUAUGUACAUGAAAAGGAUUGGUCUGAACCUUUGCCCUAACCAUACACCAGGGUAAAAGGAAGUUAUAAAAAGGUGAUGAUUUAAUCAUUUUACUGAAAUAAAACUGUGACAUCUUAGCAGACACAAACAAUCCUAUUUAUGUGUUAAAUGAACACCAUUUUUAUUGCCCAAUGUAAAUGCAAGUCAUGCACAACAAAUCAAGCAGGUGUCUAAAAGGGGAAAACAUUCUUUUGAGCAUUAACCCUUGGCAAUAUUUGUGUUUCCCAAAUUAAGCUGGAAAUAAGCCAGUUUAGUGUAAUGCCUAGAACACUAUUUGGACAUGUGAAACAUCAAUGCAAAUAUCUACAUAGCCAUCAUUUUUCUAGAUAGCUAUGAGCAUGUUACCAUCUCUCUGCCAAGUUACAGAAUUAUUGUGAGGAUAAAAUAGGAAAGACAUAUAUACACCAGCCUUAAAGGAGAAUAGGAUAAAAAGGAGAUUGCAAGUGCUCCUUUGUUAUUUAUUAACACACAUAGAGGACAUACUCUAGAUUUAUAUAAUGACCAUUAAAAUAGACACUACUUGUAUAGAAAACUAACAGAAUUAGAAUGUGUGUGUGAUUUAUUUAUUUAGUCUGUGCGCACAUGUGUGUGUUUGUGCGCGCACACGCACACAUAUACACUCUACAGAAAGCACAUGAGAGGACUGCAAAAUUGCUUUGUUUUAACAUUUACUGCAAACCAUGCCAAUAUUUGGCCACAGUAUUAUAGCAGACCUGGGUGCAAGUGCUAAUCAAGUGGAAAUGCUAGUAGACAUUUAUUAGCAUUUAUUUAUAAAAUCAAAUACUUCUUUUC